ACUUUUUCCCGCCAAAUAAAGAGGAAAAGAAAGUGGCACGAAAACGAGCGAAGAAAAAUUAUAGAGGAGUAAGGCAGAGGCCGUGGGGCAAAUGGGCAGCUGAAAUCAGGGAUCCGCGGCAGGCAAGGAGGGUGUGGCUAGGGACUUUUAACACGGCGGAGGAAGCUGCCAGAGCUUAUGAUAAGGCGGCGAUUGAGUUUCGAGGGCCGAGAGCGAAGCUCAAUUUUCCAUUUCCUGACAACAUUAGCAACACUACAAAUUUGGAAGAGAAAAGCACUCAAGAUCAAGAGCAAGAACAGAAA
rnacentral:misc_RNA from 1 species